rnacentral:lncRNA from 1 species
UUUCUUUUUGUAAAGUCCGAAGCCUCAUCCCGAGUUGUGGGGGAAUCAUAGUCUUCAUCAUCCUUUCCUCACUAGGACAAUGCUCUGAUAAUGAAGAUCAUCACACUUUUAUGGAUUUACAACUCAAAGCUAGAACAAGAUACGACUCUAUAUGAAUGCCUCCGGCGGUGUACCGGGAUAUGCAAUGAAUCAAGAGCGACAUGUAUGAAAAUUAUGAAGGUGGCCUUGCCACAAAUACAAUGUCAACUACAUGAUGAUGCAAAAAGCAAUAUGACAAAUGUAAUGCGUGUCAUAUGAACGGAACGGUGGAAAUUUGCAUGGAAAUAUAUCUCAGAAUGGCUAUGGAAAUGCCAUAAUAGGUAGGUAAGGUGGCUGUUUUGAGGAAGGUAAAUGGUGGGUGUAUGGUAUCGGCGGAGUUGCACGAUACAAGAGAGGCUAGCAAUCGUGGAAGCGUGAAAGAGUGCGUAUAAUACAUGGACUCAACAUUAAUCAAAAGAACUCAUAUACUUGUUGCAAAAAUUUACAAGUCAUCAAAAACCAAAGUACUAUGCGCAUGCUCCUAGGGGGAUAGAUUGGUAGGAAAAGACCAUCGCUCGUCCCUGACCGCCACUCAUAAGGAAGACAAUCAAUAAAUAAAAGUGUGCUCCAACUUCUUCACAAAGCGGUUCACCAUACGUGCAUGCUACGGGAAUCACAAGCUUCAACUCAAGCAUUCUUUAAAUUCAUAAUCACCCAACUAGCAUGACUUUAAUAUCACUACCUUCAUAUCUCAAAACAAUUAUCAAGUAUCAAAUUGAUCAUAGCAUCCAAUUCACUUUCUAUGAUAGUUUUUAUUAUACUCAACUUGGAUUAUAAUCAUUCUAGGACCAACUUUAUGAUAAUAGCAAAUACCAUGCUGUGCUAAAAGACUCUCAAAAUAAUAUAAGUGAAGCAUGAGAGACUAACAAUUUCUUCAAAAUUAAGACACCACCGUGCUCUAAAAGAUAUAAGUGAAGCACUAGAGCAAAAACUAUCAAGCUCAAAAGAUAUAAGUGAAGCACAUAGAGCAUUCUAGCAAAUUCUAAUCAAAUAGGCUUCUCCCAAAAUGUGUGUACAGCAGGGAUGAUUGUAGUAAACUGAAAGGCAAAGACUAAUAUAAUACACGACGCUCCAAGCAAAUCACAUAUCAUGUGGCGAAUAAAAAUAUAGCUCCAAGUAAAGUUACCAAUGAACGAAGACGAAAGAGGGGACGCCUUCCCGGGGCAUCCCCAAGCUUAGGAUUUUGGCUAUUAUUGAUUAUCUUGGGGUGCCAUGGGCAUCCCCAAGCUUAGGCUCUUGCCACUCCUUAUUCCAUAGUCCAUAAAAGCUUUACCCAAAACUUGAAAACUUCACAACACAAAACGCAACAGGAAAUCUUAUAAGCUCCAUUAGUGAAAGAAAACAAACCCACCACAUAAGGUACUGCCAUGAACUCAUUCUUUAUUUAAUUUGGUGUUAAACCUACUGUAUUCCAACUUCUUUAUGGUUCAUAGAGUGAAUUACUAGCCAUAGAUGCAUUGAAAUAAGCAAACAACACACGAGAAACAGAAUCUGUCAAAAACAGAACAGUCUGUAGCAAUCUGUAACUAACGCAAACUUCUGGAACUCUAAAAAUCCUACCAAAAUAGGAAGUCCUGGAAAAUUUGUUUAUUGAAUAGAAGCAAAAAUAAUCAACGCAAAAGUACGUUCUUGUGAUUUAACAAAAUUAUAUUCGUGCGCGCAAAGUUUCUGUUUUUCAGCAGAAUCAAAUCAACUAUCAUCGUAGGUUAUCCUAUAGGUUCUACUUGGCACAAACACUAAUUAAAAGAUAAAAACACAUCUAACCAUAAGGUAGAUGCAAAAUUUAUUACUAAACAGGAGCAAAAACAAAAAAACAUAAAGAAAAUUGGGUUGCCUCCCAACUAGCGCUAUCAUUUAACGCCCCUAGCUAGGCAUAAAAGCGAAGAUAGAUCUAAGUGGUGCCGUAAUAAUAAGAUAGAUCUUGAAAGCUCAUCUCAUAUUCUCUAUGUUUGGCAGCAAGUUUUCUUUGAGGCAAGCAAAAGUAAUCAAAAUGGCUAAAUUUAGUGGGACAAAGAUCCCCAAGAUCAAUCACAGGAGGAAUGGGUUCCCCCCUUGGCCCUUCAUAGUGUACAACUAUAUCAUCACUAAAAGCAUUCUUUUUGCAAAAUCUUGUGAGCCUAUACUCAAGAGAGUAUCCUAGCUCAUUGUUUCGAAGGGCAAAAUCAUUAUUAAUCUCAUUAAUGCAAUCAACCAAGACAUUUGUAGGAACCUUUUUUCUAAGGUUUUCAUUAAAAGCGACAUAGUCCGAAGAUUGAAAAUGUCUUAUUUCCUCUUGAUCAUAGAGGGUCGCCUCUAUGGGAGGACGACUGGCGUCCACCCUAUAGUGCGCAAAGAUUUCUUUGGCCUCUCUUAUGAUAAAUCUAAACUCAUGAGCUAAAAAGAUAGUAACUGCGCGCUUAACAGAAGAAUGCUCAAUAUUAGAGAAUUCUAGGAAAAUUCUUUGUAUGCAAGGAUGCAUAUACAUAAAUUGCCUUUAAAGUUCAACUAUAAGCAUAGCAAUAGCAUCCGCAAGACAACUAGUUCUAUGAAGAAUAGAACCACCCAUGGAAGGUAAAGCACCGGCACAAGUAAAGAAAUCUUGAAUAACACCUUUGCCAAUGAUGUUACCGCUACCGAUUCGAAACUUUUUAGUAUGCAAGAUAGGGGGUUCAUUGGUCGGAGCCUCGGGGUUUUCUAUGUUAUCAUUAUUGUCCAUAUCAACGAUAAUCUCCCCAAUUUUAGACAUAGUGGCAAACAAAAGCAAGGCGGAAGAAGCAAGCGAAAAGGAGAGGAGGAGAUUGGGAUAGAGAGGGCGAAUAAAACGACAAGGGUGAAGUGGGGGAGAGGAAAACGAGAGGCAAAUGGCAAAUAAUGUAAAUGCGAGGGAGAUGGGUUUGUGAUGGGUACUUGGUAUGUCUUGACUUGAGCGAAGACCUCCCCAGCAACGGCGCCAGAAAUCCUUCUUGCUACAUCUUGAGCUUGCAUUGGUUUUCCUCGAAGAGGAGAGGGUGAUGCAGCAAACUGUAGCGUAAGUAUUUCCCUCAGUUUUGAGAAGCAAGGUAUCAAUCCAGUAGGAGGCUCCUCAAAAGUCCCAUGCACCAACAGAAACAAAUUGAGUACUCGCAACCAACGCAAUAAAGGGGUUGUCAAUCCCUUCACGGCCACUUGCGAAAGUGAGAUCUAAUAAAGAUAGUAUGAUAAGAUAAAUAUAUUUUUGGUAUUUUAUGAUAUAGAUGCAAAAAGUAAAGAUGCAAAUAAAAGUAGAUUGAAAGCAAAUAUGAUAAGAGAUAGACCCGGGGGGCAUAGGUUUCACUAGAGGCUUCUCUCAAAAUAGCAUAAGUAUUACGGUGGGUGAACAAAUUACUGUCGAGCAAUUGAUAGAAAAUCGCAUAGUUAUGAGAUUAUCUAGGCAUGAUAAUGUAUAUAGGCAUCACAUCCAUAACAAGUAGACCGACUCCCGCCUGCAUCUACUAGUAUUACUCCACACAUCGACCGACUCCUACCUGCAUCUAGAGUAUUAAGUUAAUAAGAAAAGAGUUAUGCAUUAAGCAAGAUGACAUGAUGUAGAGGGAUAAACACAUGCAAUAUGAUAUAAACCCCAUCUUGUCAUCCUCGAUGGCAACAAUACAGUACGUGCCUUGCAACCCUUUCUGUCAUUGGGUAAGGACACCGCAAGAUUGAACCCAAAGCUAAGCACUUCUCCCAUGGCAAGAAAAACCAAUCUAGUAGGCCAAACCAAACUGAUAAUUCGAAGAGACUUGCAAAGAUAACUCAAUCAUACAUAAAAGAAUUCAGAGGAGAUUCAAAUAUUAUUCAUAGAUACACUUGAUCAUAAACCCACAAUUCAUCGGAUCUCGACAAACACACCGCAAAAAGAGUUUACAUCGAAUAGAUCUCCACAAGAGAUGGGGAGAACAUUGUAUUGAGAUGCAAAAAGAGAGAAGAAGCCAUCUAGCUAAUAACUAUGGACCCGUAGGUGUGUGCUACUCACAACUCAUCAGAGGGGCAAGGAUGUUGAUGUAGAGGCCCUCCGUGGUUGAUUCCCCCUCCGGCAGAGUGCCGGCGAAGGCUCCAAGAUGGGAUCUCGCGGAUACAGAAGGUUACGGCGGUGGAAAUUGUGUUUCGUGGUGCUCCUGGAUGAUUUCGGGGUAUGUAGGUAUAUAUACGAGGAAGAACUACGUCGGUGGCUGCCCGAGGGGCCCACAAGACAGGGGGCGCGCCCUACAGGGGGGCGCGGCACCCUAUCUCGUGGGGCCCUAGGGAGCUUCUUGACUUGCACUCCAAGCUCUCCGGAUCAUGUUCGUUCCAAAAAUCACGCUCCCGAAGGUUUCAUUCCGUUUGGACUCUGUUUGAUAUUCCUUUUCUUCAAAAUACUGAAAUAGGCAAAAAACCAGCAAUAUGGGCUGGGCCUCCGGUUAGUAGGUUAGUCCCAAAAUGAUAUAAAUGUGUAAAAUAAAGCCCAUAAACAUCCAAAAGGGGUAAUAUAAUAGCAUGGAACAAUAAAAAAUUAUAGAUACGUUGGAGAUGUAUCAAGCGAUUCCUUCGUGACUGCUGCUAACUGAAGCCGAUCGAUGCUGCCUCUAGAUGAACAAUGAGCAUUGCGAGGGGGAGUGUUGGAUGAACAGUUAGCGGUGGGGUGGAUGAACAGGACCCCGUGGCGUUGCCUCCGCAUGAACAGGACCCCGAUCGAUCGACCUGGUUGGGGCUAGAUGAACAGGCCCCCGUGGAGGGCUGGAUGAAUAGGACGACCCCGUGGAGGGCUGGAUGAACAGUAGACGGUGUAGGGGUGGAUGAACAGUAGCCCGUAGAGGGGUGGUUAAACAGGAGCCCGUGGAGAGGGGUGGUUGAACCCGGUGGAGUAGCGCGCAGUGGAGGCUAGAUGAACAGGAGCCCGCGGAUGAACAGUCGUAGGUGGAGGCUGGAGGAGGCUGACGGUGGAUGAACAGUAGCCCAUGGAGGCUAGAGGAGGUCGAUGGUGGAGAUGAACAGUAUCCCGUGGAGUCCCGUUUUGCAGUACGCCACACCCGUCCCGAUGAACAGGACCCCUGUUUCGACCGUAGCGCUCCAACACAAGUCCGUUUCCUCCGUUUUGCAGUACACCACACCCCUCCCGAUCAACAAGACCCCUUUCGACUAUAGGAGGUCCAACACAAGUCUGUUUCCUUCGUUUUGCAGUACGCCAGACCCCUCCCGAUGAACAGGAACCCGUUUCGAACGUGGCCGAUCGAACACAAGGUCGUUUCCUCCGUUCUGUGGUACGCCGGGCCUCGUUUCCAUCGCCUGUUCCGUCCAAGCCUGUUGGCUCCCACGUGUUUCGUUGCCUCCCGAGGAACACGACGCAUUCCGUUGCCUCCCCAUGAACACGACGCAUUCCAUUGCCUCCCAAUGAACACGACAAUGACGCAGUUUCUCCAUAAUGACCCAACCAUGUACACGAGCACUAGCCGUACGUAUGUGCGAGUAGGCAUUCGAGACCUCGCCUGUAUGUACGUACGUGGCCAUAUUUUCUUUUUUGCACCCUGGCCGUUGUACGUACGUGUACAUGCUACGUGCGCGCCUCUACUAUGACACGUGCGUGCCUCUACAUCGACUAGUAUGUACGUACACGUUCGCGGCCAGAAUGACAAUGCUACAUAUGCUUCGACCAGGUGGGUCCCGACUGUUAGGCACUUCCUUGCGUGCGAAGAUGUAGCUGGUGGGUCCUAGUAGUCAGGGGGGCGAAUCGUUUUCGGACGCACUUCCUUGCGUGCAAAGAUGUAGCUGGUGGGUCCCAGCAAUCAGGGGGAAAUGUUUUUUUCAUGAAAUACAGUGGCCUGUCCGGUGGGUCCCAGCUGUCAGGUGGAGGAAUCAUUAUUUUCCGCGUAAUAAGGAGGCACUUCCUUGCUACGUACAGUCCACGUCCGAUGGAAGUCGUUCAUUGACCACGCCACACCGAGAGCACCACGGCGGUGGACGACGGCGAGGCCUAGGAAGGGGACGACGCGGAGCCGGGGAAGAUGCGGCAGUGGAUGCCCACGCGGAGAGGAGUACGAGGGUUCACUGGUUCGGCUGCGGUGUGAGGCUGUCGUCGCUGCAGAAUAACAGGGGGUGUGUGUGAGUGGAGGGAUGGCCUGGCCAGCGGUGGGAGUAGUAGGGGGCAGUGAGGCCUCCGCGGCAGCACAGCCGGCCACGGGAGGCAGGAGCAGGCGGCAUGACCGGCACUACUUUGGGCGGCUGGAGCAAGAAGACCAGAGGUUGAAGAAGCAUGACGGUCGUUGGAUGGACAUCAUACGGUCACUGCAGCUAGAAUCGUUUAUAUUGACUAAGUUGACAAAGCCCUUGGUACGCGUCAACUUAGUAGGCCUGCGGGUCAACAUCAAAAACGGUGCGCCCCAAAUGUCAGGGGGAUGAAUCAUUUUUUGGGCGGGUGAAGCUAGAAUAUCUGAGAUUGAAGAAGAAGAACGACAUCCAUUGGAUGGACAUCCAACGGCCACUGCUGCUAGAACCCUGUGUUGACUAUAAGUUGACAAAGCCUUGCAUAUGCGUCAACUCUAUUUUUUUAGGGGACGCGUCAACUUAGUAAGACCACAAGUGUGUGGCAGAGAACUUAUAGCCCAUUUGAGAUUUGUAGGAAUGUGCAGCCCAUUUUUGAAUUCUAAUGGAAUUUACUACAGCCCAUCUACAGUUUGUUAAAAGUACAGCCCAUUUCAACCAACCAUUCAAAACAGAAUUCAAUAAAAUUUCCCACAUUUUGAUGGGAUCCGAAAUAUUUUUAUCCUGAAAUUUCUAGUCAGAUUAAAUGCAAUUUCAAUAUAAAUUUAUAUUACAUAAACCAACAAAACAUUGCGCUCGCAACAAUUAAUGAAAUUAAAAUUUUCAAUAUCCAAAAACAAUAUUUUAUAAAGUAAUUAUGUGUUUGGUGCAUUUUUUAUAGUUACUGCCCAGUUUUUAUAAUUACGUCCCAUUUAUUAUUUCUCAAAGCCCAUUUUCUUGUUAAGCCUAAUGCAUCCCUCCUAGGAAAGAUUUGCAGCCUAGCGGGGCGGAGAAUAACAACUUGACCUUGCCUGGGUAUUCCUAAAAAAAGUAUAGCUGGGCUAGACAUUUUCAGCUUGAAAAAAAUUAAUAUCUGGGCUGGAUAUCUAGCCUGGGCUAGACGGGCCACAACCCGCCCAGUUAAUACGUGCAGCGAUGUUAUCGUUGUUGUUCAGAGGGGGAAAAUUAAUAUCUGGGCUAAACAUCAAAAAACUCUGCAGUGCUCACACCUCAAAAACACAAAUACUGCUCAAGCUGCUUGGUACCAGCUGUCGGCCGCUUCUUGUGCAAUUCUCUCGUUUAUUGACUACAUAGGUUGACAAUGGUGUGGGACCGUGAUGUUAGGAAACCAGGAGGAAGCAAAAAAAUAUAGUUAUAUAUAUAUAAGGAGGCACUUGCGUACGUGAGGCUAUGGCCCUGGUGAGUCCUCAUUGUCAUCCUCUCCAAGUAAAGUCAUCUCCUCGCUCGCGCGCGCUUUCCGCCCGAAACAGUCAGCGCCACCCGCCCCGCUUCCCGGUGCAGGCGAUUGCUCCGCCUUCAAAUGACACAAGUGUCCUCCAUCCGUCCAUCUGCCGCCCACAUUAAUGAUACGCGGUUGCCGAGGCGGCUACUCCGGUGCCACACGUCCGUCCCUCCGCCGCCCACCAUUGCUAUAUAAACUGCUGCGCCGGCCAUAGCCGCAGUCAUCCGUAUGCGUUCCCUUUCUCCUGUCCACACCACUACUACCCCCCAUGGCUUCCUCGCGCUCCAGCGCUCUUCGGGACGGGCGGACGACGAACCACAAGGAGAUGGCAGCCAUUGCUGCCGACCGGCUGGCCGGCAGGCAGCCGGAGGACGACGACGUCCCAAUGAAGAACAUGGUAGUCGAUGAUCCAGCGCCAACCCCCUCCUCCGUGCCAUCCUCGCUGGUGCAUUGCACCAUGACCAUUGGCGAGGCCCGUGCCCAAUAUAUAGACACAGUGAGGCAGAUGCGGGAGGAGCAGUUCCGGGAGGCGCAUGUUGACGCUGCCUACAACAACCAUCUCCUCCAGGAGCACCUCCACGCGGAGGAGCAGAUCGCCGCGUAGCGGGCGGAGCAGGAGGCGCUGCUUGACUCGUACCGCUUCGCCCGCGAGGGCCGCCUCGAGCGCUGGCGGUACCGCAUGCGGGUGGCGGAGGCUGCGGCCGCCUACAAAGAGGGAGAUGAAGUAGGCGAGGCGCAGUUUGGCAAGAUCGAGGAUGAGGCAGAGGACAAUGGCAGCUCCGACGAGUGCCCGCUCCACUGGCAUUGACGAGGCCCUGCUCCGCCGAGGCCCCGCGGCGCCAACAACGAGGCAGAGGACACCGCUGGCUCCGCCGAGGCCCCACCCCGCCAACAACGAGGCAGAGGACAUCACCGGCUCAGUCGAGGCCCCACCCUACCGGCAACGAGGGGGAGGAUUUCCACCGCUCCGCCGAGGCGCCGCCUGCCGGCAACGAGACAGAUGACAUCACCGGCUCCGUCGAGGCCCUGCCCUGCUGCCAAUGAGGCCGCGCCACACAGAAAACGAGGAAGAGUAGAACACGGUAGGUCGCCACCGCUCGGGUCCAAGUAAGGCCACAGCUGCUACCCUCCGGUUGAAGCCAAGCUAGGCGGGUUAACCAUUGACGGCCGGUUAGCUUCUUGGCGGCGACAUGGAGUCGGAGAGCUGUGUUGGAGAAGAACGCUGCUUCUACUUAACUGUUGGUGCAGUUGGCCGACUGACACAUGGGCCCAAUAGGCCACAUGUCAGUUACGCAACUGCACCUGCAGUUAAGUCACUGAAGCUUCUAUUCGGCUCAGCGGGACAUAGGUGAGUAGCUUUGGUUAAUUAAUUAUACCUCCAGCGCACCCCUUUUUAGUUGAAGAAUGUAUGGAAUGUAAUGAAAUCCAGCAUGUUUAUAUGAAAUCCGACCGUGUAUGAAUUAAUUUAUUUCGAUUAGUUCAAAUUCCUGUAUCACUGGCAUUGGAUGGACAUGCAAAACAAUACGUACUAGCAUUAUUCCCAGGGUGAUCACCUCAUUUACAGUGAUUUCACAUGCACUCCCUCCGGUCCUUUCUAGUCUGCAUACAAGUUUUGUUUGCAGUCAAAGUAUCUCUACUUUGACCAAUCUUAUGGAAAAAGUAUGCACUUUCACAAUGUCCGAAGUAAAAAGGAACAAAAGGAGUACAAAGAGUUUGAGCAGCUUUUUAGCGUUUCUGUACAAUGCAAUCAAACACAUAGAGCUGGCAAUUCAUAGAGAACAUUUAAAACAAUCGAUGAUUAUGCAUCUCAGUGACUCACAUGUCAGAGGCAAUAUUUACUUCACAACUAAAUAAUAAAGAAAAAAUUGAUCGACGCUGCUGACAGCAAAGGGCGUCCCAUUCGAAAAUAUCAAACGCAUGUCUUCUUCCUAAAUUCAAUGAGAAAAUUUUGACAAGGUUGUCCCAUUCCAAAAUAUCAAAUGCCUACGAAUGUGGAAUGGGCAGGGUUUUCCAUCAGUUCGGACAUUGACAUGGCACCUCGUGCUAAAUAAACCAGCUGUUCUUUUUGUGCAGUUCCACCAAAAUCAACCAAAUUCGCGUGUAGCUUGUAUGAUUUAGCCCUUAUAUGUUGCAACGCCUUGAACUUAUUGGCACGUCCUUUCUUGUGGUGGAAAUGAAUGAUUUGAUGUAUUCAUGAACAUUUUGUGCAGUUCCCAUUGAAAUCAAGCUGAGCACCCCUGUUUGCACAAAUACAAAAAAAUUGAUUAGUAUAAAGCAAACUGUACUAUGAAUUGAUAGUUUAAACAGGCACCUACAUGGUCCAUGUAGAGCACACUUUUAGAAAAAUGGAACUCACCAGAAAUAAUCCUAGAACAACAUUGUACUCGCGCAUCACAGCAAAAAAAUGGAGAUUUGUCAGUCCUUCUAAACUGAAGUUAGUUUGGUCUUGCGGAGUAAUGUAACCAUCCUUCAACUGCUCCUUCUGAUGAGAAGAUAGACAGAGCUUCUUCAUCCUGGCAUAACUGGAACUAGUCACUUCACGUACUCCAUAUUCUUCUUCAGAGGAAGAUGAUCCUGUUGUGCAAAGACAAGAGGACAACUAAAUGCUAGCAUCCCUGUUUGCUCGAAAAAAAGGAAAGGAAAUAUUUAAAAUAGCACAGAUGAAGCACUUCUCAAGGACAAUACCACUUUUUCAUGACAGUAUCUAAACAGUAGCACAACACUAAUAGAGAUGACAAAGCUCAAUCAUAUGGAUGAAAUCAGUGGGCGAAUACCAACCUUUGUCAGGAGGCUUAUUGUGUAGAGCAUACAGAUGAAGCACUUCUCUGGAACCAUUUGUUGCUAUCUACUAUGGUGGCCAUGCUUACUAUAUACUCCUCGAUUAGUUUAAUGUUUCCAACAUCUUCUCAUGCAGUUCCACUAAAAUAUAUGGUAUCUUCAAAGAAGAUCCCUGUUUGCACAAGUAGAGAUAAUUACGUAUUACAUUAAGAGUGACAUCAAAUCAGUGGCAAAAUAAUUGCUCGUUCCAGUCAUAGCAAUAAAUUAAGCUACAAAACUAUAUCAUUACUUGUGUCAUCACAGUUCCAGUGCUUCAUUACAGCACCGGGAGUUGAUUUUUGUUUUUCUUCCGCUUGUUCUUACCCUUCAUCACUUGGUUCAAUAACAGACAAGCUUCGCCUUCAAUGUAAGAUUUGGCAUGUCAAUUAGGGAGCACAAGUAUAACACUAAACAAUGACAUUAAUUUUCUGAUGAAUGUGGCAAAAUACAGGCCAACAGUUGUGAAAUAUCCUUAUCUUACCUCAAUGGGAUAUUAUGGUGCACAUACAGAUUGGAAGUCUUGUCUCCAUUUGUGCAGUUCACUAAAAUCAAGCAACAUUACCGUACAAGUAGCACACUGCUACGUCUUGAGCUUGCGUUGGUUUUCCUUGAAGAGAAAAGGGUGAUGCAGCAAUAGUAGCGUAAGUAUUUCCCUCAUUUUUUGAGAACCAAGGUAUCAAUCCAGUAGGAGGCUCCUCAAAAGUCCCACGCACCUACACAAACAAACAAAGAACUCGCAACCAACGCAUUAACGGGGUUGUCAAUCCCUUCAUGGCCACUUGCGAAAGUGAGAUCUAAUAAAGAUAGUAAGAUAAGAUAAAUAUAUUUUUGGUAUUUUAUAAUAUAGAUGCAAAAAGUAAAGAUGCAAAUAAAAGUAGAUUGGAAGCAAAUAUGAUAAGAGAUAGACCCGAGGGCCAUAGGUUUCACUAGUGGCUUCUCUCAACGUAGCAUAAGUAUUACGGUGGGUGAACAAAUUACUGUCGAGCAAAUGAUAGAAUAGCGAAUAAUUACGAGAAUGCCUAGGCAUGAUCAUGUAUAUAGGCAUCACGUCCGCAACAAGUAAACCGACUCAUGCCUGCAUCUACUACUAUUACUCCACACAUCGACCGACUCCUGUCUACUAGAGUAUUAAGUUCAUAAGAACAGAGUAACACAUUAAGCAAGAUGAUAUGAUGUAGAGGGAUAAACUCAAGCAAUAUGAUAUAAACCCCAUCUUGUUAUCCUCGAUGUCAACAAUACAAUAUGUGCCUUGCAACCCUUUCUAUCACUGGGUAAGGACACCGCAAGAUUGAACCCAAAGCUAAGCACUUCUCCCAUGGCAAGAAAGAUCAAUCUAGUAGGCCAAACCAAACUAAUAAUUCGAAGAGACUUGCAAAGAUAACUCAAUCAUACAUAAAAGAAUUCAGAGAAGAUUCAAAUAUUAUCCAUACAUAAACUUGAUCAUAAACACACAAUUCAUCGGAUCUCGACAAACACACCACAAAAAGAGUUUACAUCGAAUAGAUCUCCACAAGAGAGGGGGAGAACAUUGUAUUGAGAUCCAAAAAGAGAGAAGAAGCCAUCUAGCUAAUAACUAUGGACCCGUGGGUCUAUGGUAAACUACUCAGAACUCAUCGGAGGGGCAAGGAUGUUGAUGUAGAAGCCCUCCAUGGUCGAUUCGCCCUCCAGCUGAGUGCCGACGAAGGCUCCAAGAUGAGAUCUCACGGAUACAGAAGGUUACGGUGGUGGAAAUUGGUUUUCGUUGGCUCCCUGGAUGUUUUCGGGGUACGUAGGCUUAUAAAGGAGGAAGAAGUACGUCGGUGGACGCCCGAGGGGCCCACGAGACAGGGGGCACGCCCUAUAGGGGGGCGCCCUCCUAUCUCGUGGAGGCCACGGCUGCUUCUUGACUUGCACUUCAAGUCCUCUGGAUCAUGUCCGUUCCAAAAAUCACGCUCCCGAAGGUUUCAUUCCGUUUGGACUCCGUUUGAUAUUCCUUUUCUUCAAAAUACUGAAAUAGGCAAAAAAAUAGCAAUACGGGCUGGGCCUUCGGUUAGUAGGUUAGUCCCAAAAAUGAUAUAAAUGUGUUAAAUAAAGCCCAUAAACAUCCAAAAGGGGUAAUAUAAUAGCAUGGCACAAUCAAAAUUAUAGAUACGUUGGAGACGUAUCAAGCAUCCCCAAGCUUAAUUCCUACUCGUCCUCGAGUAGGUAAAUGAUAAAAAAUAAAUUUUUGAUGUGGAAUGCUACCUAGCAUAAUUCUCAAUGUAAUUUUCUUUAUUGUGGCAUGAAUGUUCAGAUCCAAAUGAUACAAAAUAAAAGUUCAUAUUAACAUGAAAAUGGUGAUACUUCAAGCAUACUAAUCAAAGUAAUUAUGUCUUCUCAAAAUAACAUGGCCAAAGAAAGUUAUCCCUACAAAAUCAUAUAGUCUGGCUGUUCCUGUAUCUUCAUCACACAAAGUAUUUAAUCAUGCACAACCCCGAUGACAAGCCAAGCAAUUGUUUCAUACUUUAAUAAUCUCAAACUCUUUCACCUUUCACGCAAUACAUGAGCAUGAGCCAUGGACAUAGCACUAUAUGUGGAAUAGGAUGGUGGUUGUGGAGAAGACAAAAAAGGAGAAGAUAGUCUCACAUCAACUAGGCGUAUCAACGGGCUAUGGAGAUGCCCAUUAAUAGAUAUCAAAUGGAGUGAGUAGGGAUUGCCAUCCAACGGAUGCACUAGAGCUAUAAGUAUAUGAAAGCUCAACAAAUGAAACUAAGUGGGUGUGCAUCCAACUCGCUUGCUCAUGAAGACCUAGGGCAUUUUGAGGAAGCCCAUCAUUGGAAUAUACAAGCCAAGUUCUAUAAUGAAAAAUUCCCAGUAGUAUAUGAAAGUGACAUCAUAUGAGACUCUCUAUCAUGAAGAUCAUGGUGCUACUUUCAAGCACAAGUGUGGAAAAAGAGAUAGUAGCAUUGUACCUUCUCUCUUUUUCUCUCAUUUUAUUUUUUUUCUUUUUCUAUUUUUCUCUCUUUUUUUUCUUUCGCCUUCUUUUUUUUUCUUUUUGGCCUUUCCCCUUUUUUCUUUCUUCUUUUUUUUCUUUCGUUUUGUAAAGUCUGAAGUCUCAUCCCGACUUGUGGGGGAAUCAUAGUCUUCAUCAUUCUUUGCUCACUAGGACAAUGCUCUAAUAAUAAAGAUCAUCACACUUUUAUGGAUUUACAACUCAAGAAUUACAACUCAAAGCUAGAACAAGAUAUGACUCUAUAUGAAUGCCUCCGGCGGUGUACCGGGAUAUGCAAGGAAUCAAGAGUGACAUGUAUGAAAAUUAUGAAAGUGGCCUUGCCACAAAUACGAUGUCAACUACAUGAUCAUGCAAAGAGCAAUAUGACAAAAGUAAUGCGUGUCAUAUGAAUGGAACGGUGGAAAGUUCCAUGGCAAUAUAUCUCGGAAUGGCUAUGGAAAUGCCAUAAUAGGUAGGUAUGGUGGCUGUUUUGAGGAAGGUAUAUGGUAGGUGUAUGGUACCGGCAAAAGUUGCGCGGCACAAGAGAGGCUAGCAAUGGUGGAAGGGUGAGGU